AGAGUUUGAUCCUGGCUCAGGACGAACGCUGGCGGCGCGCCUAACACAUGCAAGUCGAACGAGCGAGAGAGAGCUUGCUUUCUCGAGCGAGUGGCGAACGGGUGAGUAACGCGUGAGGAACCUGCCUCAAAGAGGGGGACAACAGUUGGAAACGACUGCUAAUACCGCAUAAGCCCACAGCUCGGCAUCGAGCAGAGGGAAAAGGAGCAAUCCGCUUUGAGAUGGCCUCGCGUCCGAUUAGCUGGUUGGUGAGGUAAUGGCCCACCAAGGCGACGAUCGGUAGCCGGACUGAGAGGUUGAACGGCCACAUUGGGACUGAGACACGGCCCAGACUCCUACGGGAGGCAGCAGUGGGGAAUAUUGCACAAUGGGGGAAACCCUGAUGCAGCGACGCCGCGUGGAGGAAGAAGGUCUUCGGAUUGUAAACUCCUGUUGUUGAGGAAGAUAAUGACGGUACUCAACAAGGAAGUGACGGCUAACUACGUGCCAGCAGCCGCGGUAAAACGUAGGUCACAAGCGUUGUCCGGAAUUACUGGGUGUAAAGGGAGCGCAGGCGGGAAGACAAGUUGGAAGUGAAAUCUAUGGGCUCAACCCAUAAACUGCUUUCAAAACUGUUUUUCUUGAGUAGUGCAGAGGUAGGCGGAAUUCCCGGUGUAGCGGUGGAAUGCGUAGAUAUCGGGAGGAACACCAGUGGCGAAGGCGGCCUACUGGGCACCCACUGACGCUGAGGCUCGAAAGUGUGGGUACCAAACAGGAUUAGAUACCCUGGUAGUCCACACCGUAAACGAUGAUUACUAGGUGUUGGAGGAUUGACCCCUUCAGUGCCGCAGUUAACACAAUAAGUAAUCCACCUGGGGAGUACGACCGCAAGGUUGAAACUCAAAGGAAUUGACGGGGGCCCGCACAAGCAGUGGAGUAUGUGGUUUAAUUCGACGCAACGCGAAGAACCUUACCAAGUCUUGACAUCCCUUGACGAUGCUGGAAACAGUAUUUCUCUUCGGAGCAAGGAGACAGGUGGUGCAUGGUUGUCGUCAGCUCGUGUCGUGAGAUGUUGGGUUAAGUCCCGCAACGAGCGCAACCCUUACUGUCAGUUACUACGCAAGAGGACUCUGGCAGGACUGCCGUUGACAAAACGGAGGAAGGUGGGGAUGACGUCAAAUCAUCAUGCCCUUUAUGACUUGGGCUACACACGUACUACAAUGGCGUUAAACAAAGAGAAGCAAGACCGCGAGGUGGAGCAAAACUCAGAAACAACGUCCCCCCUCCGACUGCAGGCUGCAACUCGCCUGCACGAAGUCGGAAUUGCUAGUAAUCGUGGAUCAGCAUGCCACGGUGAAUACGUUCCCGGGGCCUUGUACACACCGCCCGUC
rnacentral:rRNA from 1 species